rnacentral:rRNA from 1 species
UAAACAGCUAGCUUAAAUACUAAAUAACCAAACCAACAUUAAAAACCUUCACAAAACCACAACAACCAAAACUAAAACAUUCUACCGCCCAAGUACGUGAGACAGAAAAGGCACAAUAAGCUAUAGAAACAGUACCGUAAGGGAACGCUGAAAGAGAAAUGAAACAAAUCAUAAAAGCAUAAGAAAGCAGAGACCAACCCUC